GUGAUAGCUUUGGCAGCACAUAUACCGAAAAUGGAAUGAUACAGGGAAGAUUAAGAUGGCCCCUGUGCAAGGAUGACACACAAAUUCAUGAAGCAUUCCAUAUUUUU